UGCAGUUCCUCCCUCAUCCCCGUCUAA
rnacentral:piRNA from 1 species